AGCCAAAUAUCUAGCCCCCCUAAAACUUAUAAAAAAAUUUUUUCACCUACUUAAACUAAAUCAUUCUAAUAUCCUAGUAGAGGAGAUUGAAAAGCUAAUAGGAGCAAUAAAAUUAGUACCGCAAGGGAAAGAUGAAAUAAAAUGAAACAACAUAAAGCAUAAAAAAGCAGAGAUUUAUUCUCGUACCUUUUGCAUCAUGGUUUAACUAGUUCAACCAAGCAAAAAGAAUUUAAGUUUGACUUCCCGAAACUAGGUGAGCUACUUCAGGGCAGCUUACUGAGCCAACCCGUCUCUGUUGCAAAAGAGUGGGAAGACCCUCAAGUAGGGGUGACAGACCUACCGAACCUAGUGAUAGCUGGUUAUUCAAGAAAAGAAUGUUAGUUCAGCUAAAAAUUAUCCCAAUUUAUUUAAAUUAAAUUUUAAUUUUUAAGUAAUUCAAAUAAGGUACAGCCUAUUUGAAACAGGAUACAACCUUCACUAACGGGUAACUUUAUUAACUUUUAUAGCCAAGUAGGCCUAAGAGCAGCCAACUUCUAAAAAGCGUCAAAGCUUAUCUAUACAGUACUCUAAUUUCCAAAUAAAUUAAAAACCCUUUACCCAUAUUGAAUACUUCUAUACUUAUAUAGAACUUUUAAUGUUAAAACUAGUAACAAGAAGAGAAACUUCUCUUUAAUGUAAGUGUAAGACGGCCAGGAUAACCCACCGACAAUUAACAUAUUUGAACUCUGAGUAGUAACACUUCAAGAAAAAUCUACUACCCUCUAUGUUAACCUUACACAAGAACAUUUUAAGAAAGAUUAAAAGAAAGGGAAGGAACUCGGCAAACACUAACCCCGCCUGUUUACCAAAAACAUCGCCUCUUGCUAACUAUAAGAGGUCCAGCCUGCCCAGUGACUUAAUUCAACGGCCGCGGUAUCCUAACCGUGCGAAGGUAGCGUAAUCACUUGUUCUUUAAAUGAGGACUAGUAUGAAUGGCAUCACGAGGGUUAAGCUGUCUCCCCUCUCUAAUCAGUGAAACUGAUCUCCCCGUGAAGAAGCGGGGAUAUUUUUAUAAGACGAGAAGACCCUAUGGAGCUUUAAACCGCGUAACAACUGCUUUCCCACCUUAUACUUCCAGGAUAAUAAACUAUAUCUUAGCAUAAUGUUAACCGGUUUUCGGUUGGGGUGACCACGGAGCAAAAAUUAACCUCCACGAUGAAAGAAACUUUAUUUCUUAACCCAGAGCUACAACUCAAAGUAUCAAAAACCUGACAUAAAUUGAUCCAAUCUAUUUGAUCAACGAACCAAGUUACCCUAGGGAUAACAGCGCAAUCUACUUCAAGAGCCCCUAUCGACAAGUGGGUUUACGACCUCGAUGUUGGAUCAGGGUAUCCUAGUGGUGCA
rnacentral:rRNA from 1 species